UACCUUUCAAUCAUAUCAUUCUCUGCAAUCAUACCAUACACCUCAUUCAUCACCAUACCUUUCUCUACAAAGUCAUUUCACUUCAAUAAAGGAUCUAUCUUUUCCCUCACUUAGCAUUUUCGAUCAAUCUCAUUUCUCCCUCAACAAACCCAAAGAAAUCCAAGUACAGAGCUCAGCCAUAUUGCGAAUGGAUCAAAUUGCCACAAAACUCAGAUUUCAGCAACUCAAACCAGAGGCUUUGUGGACCAAGGGGAUUAGCACUGUUUUCCCAAGACAGGUUAUGUGAUUAUGAUCUUCAGGCUUUGCCUAUCCAGGUUGAGCAGUUGAUGGAAUGGAUUGAUGUUGAGCGGGUGUUCCUUUGACAUUUCAAGAAAUGUAACCUUGAGUAUACAUCUUCAUAUGUAUAUCUCACACGUUUUCCGCUGCAAAACACUUUGAUUAGGAUAACUUUAUGUUAUGAAAUUGUGACACGUGUUAUUGGGUAACCCACCUUAAUCAGUUCUCAUUUAUGUGUAUGUUUUAUAAGUAUCCAAAUAAUCAUAUAUGAUCCUAGCAUUUUAUCUAUGAGUGACAUUUCCAUAUACUUUAAUGUUAA